AUGCAAGUCGACGGAGCUUUUCGGAGCUAAGUGGCGGACGGGUGAGUAACGCGUGAGAAUCUACCUUUUGGAGGGGGACAACACUGGGAAACCAAUGCUAAGACCCCAUAGGCUGAAAAGUGAAAAACGAAAGUUGCCAAGAGAGGAGCUCGCGUCUGAUUAGCUAGUUGGUAGUGUAAAAGACAACCAAGGCGACGAUCAGUAGCUGGUCUGAGAGGACGAACAGCCACACUGGGACUGAGACACGGCCCAGACUCCUACGGGAGGCAGCAGUGGGGAAUUUUCCGCAAUGGGCGAAAGCCUGACGGAGCAAUACCGCGUGAGGGAGGAAGGCCUUUGGGUUGUAAACCUCAAAAAUUAGGGAAGAAAAAAAUGACGGUACCUAAAAUAAGCAUCGGCUAACUCCGUGCCAGCAGCCGCGGUAAUACG
rnacentral:rRNA from 1 species